GCCAUGGGGUCGUGGCACGGUUGGGUUGGGAGGGACCGUAUGGAUCACAGAACUGUGGGAUCACGGCACGAAUUGGGUUGAAGGGACCCUACGGAUCGUAGAGUCACGGCAUGGUUGGGUUGGAGGGGUCCCUAUAGAUUGCAGAAUCACCGAAUCACGGCACGGUUUGGAUCGGAAGGGGCCCUAUAGAUCACAGAAUUACCAAAUCACGGCACGGUUUGGGUUGGGAGAGGCCCUAUAGGUCACAGAAUCACCAAAUCACUGCACGGUUUGGGUCAGAAGGGGCCCUAUAGAUCACAGAAUCACCGAAUCACGGCACGGUUUGGAUUGGGAGGGGCCCUAUAGAUCACAGAAUCACCGAAUCACGGCACAGUUUGGGUCAGAAGGGGCCCUAUAGAUCACAGAAUCACCGAAUCACGACAUGGUUUGGGUUGGGAGAGGCCCUAUAGAUCACCUCACUGCACCCCCCGCUGCUGGCAGGGCCGGCUCGCAGCACACCGGGCUGCUCAGAGCCCCAUCCCCCCUGGGGAGGGGUCACCCACAGCCCCCCCAUGCCCUGUCCCAACCUCUGCCCCCCCUCACAGUGAAGAAUUCCCUCCUAACAUCCGCUCUAGUCCUCCCCUCUCCCAGCUCAAAGCCAUUUCCCCUUAUCCUGUCGCUACCCGCCCUUGUAAGAAGUCCUUCCUAGCUUCCCCCCCCCCCCCCCCCCCCAGGUCCUGGCAGGGCUAUAAUGGGCUGUAAUGCCCCUUCCCCAGGCUGCACAGCCCCAGCUCUCAGCUGUAAUGCCCCUUCCCCAGGCUGCACAGCCCCAGCUCUCAGCUAUAAUGCCCCUUCCCCAGGCUGCACAGCCCCAGCUCUCAGCUAUAAUGCCCCUUCCCCAGGCUGCACAGCCCCAGCUCUCAGCUGUAAUGCCCCUUCCCCAGGCUGCACAGCCCCAGCUCUCAGCUAUAAUGCCCCUUCCCCAGGCUGCACAGCCCCAGCUCUCAGCUAUAAUGUCCCUUCCCCAGGCUGCACAGCCCCAGCUCUCAGCUAUAAUGCCCCUUCCCCAGGCUGCACAGCCCCAGCUCUCAGCCUGUCCCUGUUUUGGAGGUGCUCCGUCCUCUGCUCACCUCCGUGACGCACCAACAGCUCCGUGUCCUUCUGCUGCUGGGGGCUCAGACCUGGAUGCAGCGUUCCCGAUGGGGGCUCAGGAGAGCAGAGGGGCAGGACCCCCCCCCAUCCCCCCCCACCUCCCCCCAUCCCCCACCCUGCUGGCUGCACUGCUCCCGAAGCAAGGCAGGAUUUGGGCAGCCCUCUUUCACCGACCCACACCCCCAAACCCUCCUCACAGCCCUGCUGAAGCCGUGCUGCUUACCACCAACCACCCCAUCCUUCUUUUCCAUGACCCCUCAGGCCUUUUCCAUGACCCCCCUGUGUGCCCCACAGUCCCGCAGGCACAGAGGGGAAACCUCUGCUGUGCAGUUCUCCCCCCCCCCCCCAUUUUCCCCCUUCCUGGGAACGGGAGCUGUGUGUCCCCUUUUCCAUCCCAUGGGAAUGUCUCCCAAUGCCACCGCCUUCCGAAUACGAUGGAGGGCAGCGUGGCGGCAUCACCCCGCAGCUCCCCCUGAACCCAUGGAGGGAUCUCGUCGGCCCCAUAGCACCUUCAGGCCCUACAGCUGCUUUCAGACCUCAUCUUUGGGGGGCAGAUCGUCCUUCUCUCAGUUCCUUCCUUUGCUCUCUGCAGUUUGGGCGCUGCGGGCAGAGGAGGCAUUGAGCACCGCUGCUUUCUGUGUGUGCCUCAUGAUGCUGUGAGCUGUGGGUCAGGAUGGGCCCUAUAGACCACAGAAUCGCGUGGUUGGGUUGAAAGGGACCCUAUAGGCCAUAGAACCAUGGAAUCACUGAGUGGUUGGGUUGAAAGGGACCCUAUAGAUCAUAAAACCAUGGGAUCACUGAGUGGUUGGGAUGGGAGGACCCUAUGGAUCAUAAAACCAUGGGAUCACUGAGUGGUUGGGUUGAAAGGGACCCUAUAGAUCAUAAAACCAUGGGAUCACUGAGUGGUUGGGAUGGGAGGACCCUAUGGAUCAUAAAACCAUGGGAUCACUGAGUGGUUGGGUUGAAAGGGACCCUAUAGGUCAUAGAAUCAUGGGAUCACUGAGUGGUUGGGAUGGGAGGACCCUAUGGAUCAUAAAACCAUGGGAUCACUGAGUGGUUGGGUUGAAAGGGACCCUAUAGAUCAUAAAACCAUGGGAUCACUGAGUGGUUGGGAUGGGAGGACCCUAUAGACCAUAGAACCAUGGGAUCACUGAGUGGUUGGGAUGGGAGGACCCUGUAGAUCAUAGAACCAUGGGAUCACUGAGUGGUUGGGUUGAAAGGGAC
ensembl:lncRNA